AGCGAACGCUGGCGGCAGGCUUAACACAUGCAAGUCGAGCGGGCGUAGCAAUACGUCAGCGGCAGACGGGUGAGUAACACGUGGGAACGUACCUUUUGGUUCGGAACAACACAGGGAAACUUGUGCUAAUACCGAAUAAGCCCUUACGGGGAAAGAUUUAUCGCCGAAAGAUCGGCCCGCGUCUGAUUAGCUUGUUGGUGAGGUAACGGCUCACCAAGGCGACGAUCAGUAGCUGGUCNGAGAGGAUGAUCA
rnacentral:rRNA from 1 species